rnacentral:rRNA from 1 species
AACGAACGCUGGCGGCAGGCCUAACACAUGCAAGUCGAGCGAACCCUUCGGGGUUAGCGGCGGACGGGUUAGUAACGCGUGGGAAUAUACCCUUUGGUACGGAAUAGCCUCGGGAAACUGAGAGUAAUACCGUAUGUGCCCUUCGGGGAAAGAUUUAUCGCCAAAGGAUUAGCCCGCGUUGGAUUAGGUAGUUGGUGGGGUAAUGGCCUACCAAGCCUACGAUCCAUAGCUGGUUUGAGAGGAUGAUCAGCAACACUGGGACUGAGACACGGCCCAGACUCCUACGGGAGGCAGCAGUGGGGAAUUUUGGACAAUGGGCGCAAGCCUGAUCCAGCCAUGCCGCGUGAGUGAAGAAGGCCUCGGUUGUAAG